CAAUAGCGUAUAUUAAAGUUGUUGCAGUUAAAAAGCUCGUAGUUGGAUUUCUGGUCGGAAGCUCCUGUCCUCUGAUGAGCGUACAAGUGCGUCCUACCAUCCUUCUGUUAACCUUUAAGGCUUUCGCGGCUUUCUAGGGGCUCAGAUAUUUUACCUUGAGGAAAUUAGAGUGUUUCAGGCAGGCUAGCGCCGGAAUACAUUAGCAUGGAAUAAUGGAAUAGGACUUUUGCCUCUUCUGUUGGUCAUGAGGCUCGAGUAAUGAUUAAUAGGGAUAGUUGGGGGCAUUAGUACUUAACUGUCAGAGGUGAAAUUCUCGGAUUUGUUAAAGACUAACUUAUGCGAAAGCAUUUGCCAAGGAUGUUUUCAUUAA
rnacentral:rRNA from 1 species